GGGAGCAAACAGGAUUAGAUACCCUGGUAGUCCACGCCGUAAACGAUGUCGAUUUGGAGGUUGUGCCCUUGAGGCGUGGCUUCCGGAGCUAACGCGUUAAAUCGACCGCCUGGGGAGUACGGCCGCAAGGUUAAAACUCAAAUGAAUUGACGGGGGCCCGCACAAGCGGUGGAGCAUGUGGUUUAAUUCGAUGCAACGCGAAGAACCUUACCUGGUCUUGACAUCCACAGAACUUUCCAGAGAUGGAUUGGUGCCUUCGGGAACUGUGAGACAGGUGCUGCAUGGCUGUCGUCAGCUCGUGUUGUGAAAUGUUGGGUUAAGUCCCGCAACGAGCGCAACCCUUAUCCUUUGUUGCCAGCGGUUAGGCCGGGAACUCAAAGGAGACUGCCAGUGAUAAACUGGAGGAAGGUGGGGAUGACGUCAAGUCAUCAUGGCCCUUACGACCAGGGCUACACACGUGCUACAAUGGCGCAUACAAAGAGAAGCGACCUCGCGAGAGCAAGCGGACCUCAUAAAGUGCGUCGUAGUCCGGAUUGGAGUCUGCAACUCGACUCCAUGAAGUCGGAAUCGCUAGUAAUCGUAGAUCAGAAUGCUACGGUGAAUACGUUCCCGGGCCUUGUACACACCGCCCGUCACACCAUGGGAGUGGGUUGCAAAAGAAGUAGGUAGCUUAACCUUCGGGAGGGCGCUUACCACCU
rnacentral:rRNA from 1 species